GGUGAGACAGAUCAGAAGCCAUUAAAGAAAUAUUUGGAACCGGAGUUUUCAGAACGUGUGACAGUUUUUAGACAAAGGAGCAGUUUGAAAUAAGGGGUUUCACUCCUAAGACUGAUGUAAAAAUAUAAGUAGUGAAUGAGGAAGUGUUUAGACUUGACACUGCCAGAAAACAGUAGUUUACUGGAGACACCCCUACAUCUUUUUAUCCAAAAGAUUAGAAGGCUGAACUACAGCUACUAUGGGAACAAAGGCCAUUGUUUCGGGGAUUCUCUUGUACUAAGGAAAGUUCAUCUGACAAUGUCUAAAGAGAAUCGCUCUGGCUUCAGACUUCCAGACAGCAUCUCUUUGGCCCCUAGAUUGCUAUGUGACUUCGCUGCCUUCCUGGAGAGUCCCUUUGUAGUCAGAACCCAAUGAAAUAGGGGGUAGUAGCCCUCCCUGCUCGACCCUCCCCACCACCAUCCCAAAGGAAACAGAAGACGAAACACAGCAAGAGUGUUCGAGCCCUUCUCUCAGCUACAAGAAUCUUCGGGUUUUAACGUCAUGGCCAGGCAAGGAACUGAUAACCACCCGCCUUCCCAACUCUUGCCUCAUUUCUCAAUAGUUGGCCAAGCAGUCUUCCUGGUAAAUACUUAAAUAAUUC